rnacentral:rRNA from 1 species
AUGUGGAUGCUUAGCAAGCUUGUGAGGCACACCAUUGGCAGAAGGCCUCACAAGCUGCUUCACUUGUUGAAUCUCCACUCCCUUCCAAGUUUGCUGCAACUCCAGAGCAUCAGCCUUGGCAGUUGCGACAUCCAGCUCCAGCGCCAGUUGGUUGCAAAACUCGGAGUUGUGCGCACUCGGGGUCCUCCAAUUCGUACCUUGAUGUCCAAAAUGUCACUCUGGAACAAGUUUGCCAAACCAUCAAAUGCUCUACUACCUGUUCUGGACUGUGUACAGCCUCUACUACCUGUUCGGCAACAACUAGCAGACGAUGGCUUGUUAUGUGGUUUGGCACUGCAGGUGAUGGGCAAGUCCAAGUAA